rnacentral:rRNA from 1 species
AUUGAACGCUGGCGGCAGGCCUAACACAUGCAAGUCGAGCGGAUGAAGGGAGCUUGCUCCUGGAUUCAGCGGCGGACGGGUGAGUAAUGCCUAUGAAUCUGCCUGGUAGUGGGGGAUAACGUCCGGAAACGGGCGCUAAUACCGCAUACGUCCUGAGGGAGAAAGUGGGGGAUCUUCGGACCUCACGCUAUCAGAUGAGCCUAGGUCGGAUUAGCUAGUUGGUGGGGUAAAGGCCUACCAAGGCGGCGAUCCGUAACUGGUCUGAGAGGGUGAUAAGCCACACUGGAACUGAGACACGGUCCAGGCUACUACGGGAGGCAGCAGUGGGGAAUAUUGGACAAUGGGCGAAAGCAUGGUACAGCCAUGCCGCGUGUGUGAAGAAGGUCUUCGGAUUGUAAAGCACUUUAAGUUGGGAGGAAGGGCAGUAAGUUAAUACCUUGCUGUUUUGACGUUACCAACAGAAUAAGCACCGGCUAACUUCGUG